rnacentral:rRNA from 1 species
UACAGAGGGGGCAAGCGUUGUUCGGAAUUACUGGGCGUAAAGGGCGCGUAGGCGGCCUGUUAAGUCGAACGUGAAAUCCCCGGGCUCAACCCGGGAACUGCGUCCGAUACUGGCAGGCUUGAAUCCGGGAGAGGGAUGCGGAAUUCCAGGUGUAGCGGUGAAAUGCGUAGAUAUCUGGAGGAACACCGGUGGCGAAGGCGGCAUCCUGGGACCGGGCAUUGACGCCUGAGGCGCGGAAAGCCA